rnacentral:rRNA from 1 species
UGCGUAGGUGGUUAAAUAAGUCAGAUGUGAAAUCCCCGGGCUCAACCUGGGCAUUGCAUUUGGUACUGUUUGACUAGAGUACAGUAGAGGGAAGUGGAAUUUCCGGUGUAGCGGUGAAAUGCGUAGAUAUCGGAAGGAACAUCAGUGGCGAAGGCGACUUCCUGGACUGUAACUGACACUGAGGCACGAAAGCGUGGGGAGCGAACA